rnacentral:lncRNA from 1 species
GCAAAUGUCCGUUUUUCAGGGGGAGACUCUGCUGAAAUUUCUGCAAAAAGUCUCGACCCUCUUUUCCUUUGUUUUCGGAGAAGAGAAUAAUGUUAGUAAGUGGGUCCGGCAUCUGGUGGAUGUCCUAUCAACUUGGUAUCAGAGCCACAAGAUUUCCUCUCACUACACUUACACACGACUAGUUCCACUUGAAGAAAUGGUCAACACUGAAGUAGUAGCCAUACCAGUCCUCAGAUACAACUACUUGCCUCGCAACCACUAGUGCAAAG